rnacentral:rRNA from 1 species
GGUCAAGUUUUUAAGGGCACACGGUGGAUGCCUUGGCAUUAGGAGCCGAAGAAGGACGUAGGAAUCUGCGAUAAGCCUCGGGGAGUUGAUAACCAAACUUUGAUCCGAGGGUGUCCGAAUGGGGGAACCCCGCUACCCGGUGUAAGCCGAGGUGGUGACCUGCACCUGAAUAUAUAGGGUGUGUGGAGGGAACGUGGGGAAGUGAAACAUCUCAGUACCCACAGGAAGAGAAAACAAUAGUGAUUCCGUUAGUAGUGGCGAGCGAACGCGGAUCAGGCUAAACCGUGUCAUGUGUGAUAGCCGGCGGGCGUUGCAUGGUGCGGGGUUGUGGGACUUACCGAUCUAGUUCUGCCGGACUAGGAAGGGGAAUGGUGCAUGUAUAGGUGAACGGUUUUGAAUGGCCGACCGUAGAGGGUGAGAGUCCCGUAACUGAAAUGCAGUGCACUCCCUGGUGAGUAUCCCAAGUAGCACGGGGCCCGAGAAAUCCCGUGUGAAUCUGUCAGGACCACCUGAUAAGCCUAAAUACUACCUAAUGACCGAUAGCGGACAAGUACCGUGAGGGAAAGGUGAAAAGUACCCCGGGAGGGGAGUGAAAUAGUACCUGAAACCGUGUGCUUACAAUCCGUCAGAGCAAGCGUGCCCCUUUGGGGGUAGUUGUUCUUGUGAUGGCGUGCCUUUUGAAGAAUGAGCCUGCGAGUUAGUGUUACGUCGCGAGGUUAACCCGUGUGGGGAAGCCGUAGCGAAAGCGAGUCUGAAUAGGGCGAGUUUAGUGGCGUGAUCUAGACCCGAAGCGAAGUGAUCUACCCAUGGCCAGGUUGAAGCGCGUGUAAGAGCGCGUGGAGGACCGAACCCACUUCAGUUGAAAAUGGAGGGGAUGAGCUGUGGGUAGGGGUGAAAGGCCAAUCAAACUUCGUGAUAGCUGGUUCUCCCCGAAAUGCAUUUAGGUGCAGCGUUGCGUGUUUCUUACUGGAGGUAGAGCUACUGGAUGGCUAAUGGGCCCUACAAGGUUACUGACGUCAGCCAAACUCCGAAUGCCGGUAAGUCAGAGCGUAGCAGUGAGACUGUGGGGGAUAAGCUUCAUAGUCGAGAGGGAAACAGCCCAGACCACCAACUAAGGCCCCUAAGCGUGUGCUAAGUGGGAAAGGAUGUGGGAUUGCUUAGACAACCAGGAGGUUGGCUUAGAAGCAGCCAUCCUUAAAAGAGUGCGUAAUAGCUCACUGGUCAAGUGAUUCCGCGCCGACAAUGUAGCGGGGCUCAAGUACACCGCCGAAGUUGUGGAUUUCAAACAUUACCCUAACAAGACUUGUUCUUGUUCAGGGGUUUGGAGUGGUAGGGGAGCGUCGUGUAGGCAUUGAAGCCGCAGUGUGAACUAGCGGUGGAGCCUACACGAGUGAGAAUGCAGGCAUGAGUAGCGAAAGACGGGUGAGAAACCCGUCCGCCGAAUGAUCAAGGGUUCCAGGGUCAAGCUAAUCUGCCCUGGGUAAGUCGGGACCUAAGGCGAGGCCGACAGGCGUAGUCGAUGGACAACGGGUUGAUAUUCCCGUACCGGUGAAGAACCGCCAAUAUUGAACCAGUGAUACUAACCACCCAAAACACCACUGCGUGUCCUUCGGGACCAGGGUGUGUGUGGAGCGUGGGAUCUGAACUGGGGAGGUAAACGUAUUAACAGGUGUGACGCAGGAAGGUAGCCGAGCCGGGCGAUGGUAGUCCCGGUCUAAGGACGUAGGAAACACGAUAGGCAAAUCCGUUGUGUUGUCUUCAAUGACGAUUCUGAGAUCUGAUGGGACCCCCUUACGGGGGAAUUCGGUGAUCCUAUGCUGCCUAGAAAAGCAUCGACGUGAGGUUCUAACUGCCCGUACCCCAAACCGACACAGGUGAUCAGGUAGAGAAUACUAAGGCGAUCGAGAGAAUUAUGGUUAAGGAACUCGGCAAAAUGCCCCCGUAACUUCGGGAGAAGGGGGGCCUGCCUCGUGAAGGACACUAGCUGUCCGUGAGCGAGUGUGGGCCGCAGAGACCAGGGGGAAGCGACUGUUUACUAAAAACACAGGUCCGUGCGAAGUCGCAAGACGAUGUAUACGGACUGACUCCUGCCCGGUGCUGGAAGGUUAAGAGGACCGGUUAGCACACUUGUGUGCGAAGCUGAGAAUUUAAGCCCCAGUAAACGGCGGUGGUAACUAUAACCAUCCUAAGGUAGCGAAAUUCCUUGUCGGGUAAGUUCCGACCUGCACGAAUGGAGUAACGACUUCCCCGCUGUCUCAACCAUAAACUCGGCGAAAUUGCAGUACGAGUAAAGAUGCUCGUUACGCGCAGCAGGACGGAAAGACCCCGAGACCUUUACUAUAGUUUGGUAUUGGUGUUCGGAGUGGCUUGUGUAGGAUAGGUGGGAGACUGUGAAACCGCAACGCUAGUUGUGGUGGAGUCAUCGUUGAAAUACCACUCUGGUCACUUUGGACAUCUAACUUCGGCCCGUAAUCCGGGUCAGGGACAGUGCCUGAUGGGUAGUUUAACUGGGGCGGUUGCCUCCUAAAAAGUAACGGAGGCGCCCAAAGGUUCCCUCAGCCUGGUUGGCAAUCAGGUUUCGAGUGUAAGUGCACAAGGGAGCUUGACUGUGAGAGGGACACCUCGAGCAGGGACGAAAGUCGGGACUAGUGAUCCGGCGGCACAUUGUGGAAUGGCCGUCGCUCAACGGAUAAAAGGUACCUCGGGGAUAACAGGCUGAUCUUGCCCAAGAGUCCAUAUCGACGGCAUGGUUUGGCACCUCGAUGUCGGCUCGUCGCAUCCUGGGGCUGGAGUAGGUCCCAAGGGUUGGGCUGUUCGCCCAUUAAAGCGGUACGCGAGCUGGGUUUAGAACGUCGUGAGACAGUUCGGUCCCUAUCCGCUGCGCGCGCAGGAAAUUUGAGAAGAGCUGUCCUUAGUACGAGAGGACCGGGACGGACGAACCUCUGGUGUGUCAGUUGUACUGCCAAGUGCAUCGCUGAUUAGCUACGUUCGGAAGGGAUAACCGCUGAAAGCAUCUAAGCGGGAAGCCCACUUCAAGAUGAGAUUUCCAUACACAGUUAUGUGUGAGAGGCCCCCAGCUAGACCACUGGGUUGAUAGGCCGGACGUGGAAGCGAGGACUAAAGACUCGUGAAGCUGACCGGUACUAAUAGGCCGAUAACUUACACCAC